GAUGAACGCUGGCGGCGUGCCUAAUACAUGCAAGUCGAGCGAACAGACGAGGAGCUUGCUCCUCUGACGUUAGCGGCGGACGGGUGAGUAACACGUGUAUAACCUACCUAUAAGACUGGGAUAACUUCGGGAAACCGGAGCUAAUACCGGAUAAUAUAUUGAACCGCAUGGUUCAAUAGUGAAAGACGGUUUUGCUGUCACUUAUAGAUGGAUCCGCGCCGCAUUAGCUAGUUGGUAAGGUAACGGCUUACCAAGGCAACGAUGCGUAGCCGACCUGAGAGGGUGAUCGGCCACACUGGAACUGAGACACGGUCCAGACUCCUACGGGAGGCAGCAGUAGGGAAUCUUCCGCAAUGGGCGAAAGCCUGACGGAACAACGCCGCGUGAGUGAUGAAGGUCUUCGGAUCGUAAAACUCUGUUAUUAGGGAAGAACAAAUGUGUAAGUAACUAUGCACGUCUUGACGGUACCUAAUCAGAAAGCCACGGCUAACUACGUG
rnacentral:rRNA from 1 species